rnacentral:rRNA from 1 species
UAGAAGCAGCCACCCUUGAAAGAGUGCGUAAUAGCUCACUAGUCAAGCGCUCUCGCGCCGAAAAUAACGGGGCUAAGCGAUGUACCGAAGCUGUGGGAUAAAUCUAUCGAUUUAUCGGUAGGGGAGCGUUCCGUGUUAGGUAGAAGCAGUAGCGGCGAGCAGCUGUGGACGAAACGGAAGUGAGAAUGUCGGCUUGAGUAGCGCAAACAUUGGUGAGAAUCCAAUGCCCCGAAACCCUAAGGGUUCCUCCGGCAGGUUCGUCCGCGGAGGGUUAGUCAGGACCUAAGGCGAGGCCAAACGGCGUAGUCGAUGGACAACGGGUAAUUAAUCCCGUACUGAGAUUGAUUUGUGCAGAGGGACGGAGAAGGCAUGAGCCAGCCGGAUGUUGGUUACCGGUGCAAGCGUUCAAGGCGUUGAGGAGUGGAGAAAACAUUCCGAGC